GAAGAAAGUACAGUGGACUAAAUCAUCUGACAAUAGGAUUAAGUGCACCAGAACUGUAACUUUACUUUUGGGGAAUUUAACUUAAUUUCUGUUGUGAGACCCCCCUCCCCAGCCUCAUUUGCUAGGAAGGCAGAAGCUUCAUCUUCAGUAUUUUCUCCUCCACCUUUCAGGAAUGCCAAAAUUGCAGGGAUACAGUGCCCAGGAAUCAGGCUUUUGAAGAUUGCUUUUCUUAAAAGCAGUAAUUACCCUGAGAUCUCUGCUUGUAAAUGAGCUCAGAACUGUCUCAAAACUAUGAACUCACCAGAAUAGCCAUAUGCUAAUGGGAGCUGGAAGCAAAAGGUGAAGAGGAAAGAGGAG
ensembl:lncRNA